rnacentral:tRNA from 1 species
AGCUCAGUGGUUAAAGCACUCGGCUGCUAACCAAAAUGUCGGUGGUUUGAACCCACC